rnacentral:lncRNA from 12 species
GACCUGUCAGCAUGGACUGCCUGUGGCUGGAUGAUGCCUCCUCCUGUCACUGCCUUUCCCUGGGCAGUGCUGGGAUUUGGAGAUCCUGGCUGCUGGUGGCCACCUCUGGCAAUGGCCUCAUUGGCACAAUGACAAGGCCAGGCCUCCAUCCUAGGAGCACUUCUGAGGUGACAAGGACACACUCUAAAGGACAACAUGUGGGCCCCUGG